UUUUCACUUGGGAAUUUAAGAGGCUGGAACAGUGCGACAGUAAGUCAGCGUUUAUGUUAAAUGGUGAAAGGAAAGAUGAAAGGAAGGAAGAAGGGAUGUUACUUACCUUUAACCUUCAUCUUGCUGUUCAUCUGUAUCACUGGGCAUGCAACUACUGACUUAGAUGAUGGUGAAGAGGAGGAUGUUCUGGGUGCUGGUUUGCCACCACUGAAACUAGGGCAUUCAGUCUGUGCCAUGAAAGCAGAUGAAGGUCCAUGCAAAGCAAUCCACAUGCGCUACUACUUCGAUAUUCAAAGCCGCGAGUGUGAAAUAUUUGAAUAUGGUGGAUGCCAUGGCAAUGAGAACAACUUUCUAACAUUGGAAGAAUGUCAGAAGAAGUGUGUGGUAACAGCAGACAACUUCAAGCAGAGCAUUAGCUGUACCACUCUACCCCUGCUCUCAGAUGCAAGAGAGUUGCCUCAGAAGAUGACAUUAGCAAAAAUUAAGAAAGAAAAGCCCAGCUUCUGCUUUCAUGAGAAAGACCCUGGAAUCUGCCGAGGCUAUUUUUCCAGGUAUUUCUAUAACAAAGAGACAAAGAUAUGUGAAGUAUUCAAGUAUGGUGGGUGUCUAGGAAACCAGAACAACUUCAAGAGUUUGGAAGAAUGCCAGACUACCUGCCAAGGCAACUCAAAUUUAUUGCCAAUUGUUCCAGCUGAAGAACAUCCUAACACUGUGAACAGUAGUUCCCCAGAGGAAGAACACAACCAGUUUCCUGGGAUUUUUGUCAAUUUGUUGCCAACUGCUCCAAAUGACAAGUCCAACACUCCGAACAGUAGUUCACCAAAGGAAGAGCGCAACCAGUUUCCCAUUUUUUUUGUUAUGCAAGAGGAAACAAGAAACAGUUGGGAAAAGCCUGAGCGUUCUUACCAAGUAUUUCUUUUGGUUUUUUUUUCAUUUACACUUACUUGUACUUUUGGGGUUUGAGUGAUGGCUUACAAAUUCAUUAAGGCUUUUGUGUUUAAUAUGAUCUGCAAGAUAAUGGGCAUGUAGGAUAACAUUCCUGUGCUCUUCGCUGAGAACGAUAUGUCUAAUAAAUCUUGAAUGUGUGUUGGCUCUAUUCUAUUUAUUUUUUUUUUUGCCUGCACUGUGAUCCACAUGCACUGUUGGGUUGAGGUAAGUUUCUGUGAGAGUUGGAUUGUUUGUUUACCACAUACAAAGCAUCAAUGCACUCUGUUAUAUAAAAUAACUGAAUAUAAAACAGUAAAGCUUUUGGCAACUUAUGUCACUGAAAAACAUUUGAAUGAUUUAAGGCCUGGUAAUAAGUCUAGGGACAUAAGAGUGUACACAUUACCUGAAGGUUUUACUCAUAGUAUGAAUCCCCUAAUCCCCAAAAUAACUAAUCUGUACAAGCAAAGGGGCAUGUUUCACUAUAUUUUCUCAGAGGAAACUGAAGGGUUCUUGGUUGUGUCAGCAAUAGCAAAUUUUCUGGUAGAGCUGAUUUUCGGAGAGAGAGGUGACGGUAAGAGAAAAAGAAGACUCAAAAGUUGGUGGAAGAAAGGGUUGGAGAACAAGGAUGGGUGGAAUCAGUGUAGCUGGAUGGCUCAGGUAAGAAAUGUGACCUUGGAAGUACCGAUGUGUUCAGUGGAAAGUCUGAAGACCCCACCAGUUCUUCCCUACUAUAUAACCUCUGUCUUGCACUAGGCUGCCCUGUGCAGCCACCUGCUGCCAUUCUGUUGAUCAGCCUGUACCUUUCAGGCUGCUGGGAUGGGCUAGAAUCCUGUGCUUUGUGCAAUCCCACUACAGGGGGAGGAAAGAGUAGGGCCAAAGCUGACAUCUGAUUUCUCCACAGAGAUGUGGAGAACAUAGCUUCCAUUCCUGCUAUUACUAGAGGUCAAGGUGUAAACUGAAAUGACAAGGUAGAGCCAUCUCAUACAAACAUGUGCUGUGACUCCCCAUGGCCCACUGUAAGGGACAAAAAUCUGUGCACAUAUGAGGUCAAGAUGGACUGUUUGGGAUGGGGUGGCUGAUGCCCGGCUUUCAAGCACAGGCAAAGUAGCUGUUUUGCCGCUCUAAUGCUAAUUUUACAAGUAUAUUGGCCUGGCUAUGUAACUUUUUUAUUAUUAUUUUUGAAUACGAGACCACCAUUAAAAAAAAAAAAGCACUUAUAGAAUACCUUACCUCACAAUUGAAAUGCUAUUUCAUCUUGAUUUCAAGAAAAAAUGCAUAUUAUUGGUGGUAUGUGUAGCUCUUUAAUGAUAUCAGAUUAAUAGAUUUCCAACAAAGUUCUUGACCUUCAGAAAAUUAAACUCUUCUACGGCCAAACAAAACAAACUCUUUUUUUCUGCAUAUAAACAUGAAACUUCCAGUGCUGUCUCAACAAUGAACUUUCUGCAGAGCGUGAAGGUUGUUCUGGUCUUAUUCUGCUGCAAGAUGCAAAAUAACUUUUAUUCUGCAAAAGUUAAGAGAAAGUGAAGCCAAGAAUCAAACUUUCAUUUUUAGGUUAUACAAAGUGAUCUAUGGUAGGAAAUAAUGAGUGCUAUACUCUACAUUUGAUUUGUGAGAUCUAAGUGGGGUGCAGGAUCAAAAGUCCGUUUUCAACUCAGCAAAUAUGGGAAGGUGCACAGAGACAGUUCCUGUUAUUAUUUCUUAAAGUCAGGGCUGUAUCUUUUGCUGAUAGAAAUUGACACAGUUCUAUUCACUAUAAUGGAUCUGCACCAUUUUAUACUGACAGAGUACUGUCAAGUGCAGAUGACUCAUUAUUUUUGUAAUAGCUUGUCUACUUGAAGACUCUCUUCUUUUCUCUUUGCUGCAACCAGAAAUGAGAUACUGAAGUCUGCAUAUAUCAAAAACCUGGCAAUAAAUCUGAAGCUUCAUGAAUGUCACACACCUGCGUCUAGUGAAAGAAUGCAGUAAGCAUUCUGUCAUCCAGCUCACCAAAAUCAUUUCAAGCUUCGUUUGUACUGUCAUAAUUAACAGUUCAUUAUCACACCACCCCAGCUAAAGCUGAGGGAUAAUUAUUAUUGUUGCAAUGCAAGGUUGGGAUUAUUUUUUAUAAAUAUGAUUCUAUACCUGAAUAUGCUUGUGUCAGAGAUUCUGAAGCAUGAUCAUGUCAUCUGUUCACACCACAGAGGGGGGUGACUGGAAUUCAAGAAAAUACCGUAUUAUAAGAAUUAAAUCUUAAACCAUACACAUUCAAAGAUUGUUUAGGUAGCAGUGAAGGCUAAGAACAGCCGCCUUUUUUAUCUACUGCAUAUUUCAUAUAAUUAGUUUACCUAAUUUUUCAGAAACAAAUUAUCAAAUAUUGCAGUUUUAGGUCUUAUUCUCUUACCAGAACAAAACCAGACCAAAUGCCUGCAUCAUCAAGAAAAAGAAGUAACAGAAAGAGAACAGAAAGAUCAAUGCUGUAGUUUGCUGUAGUUAAGCCUGAAACCCAUUUGAGAAGCUCCUGCAGAGCUAGUGGUGGGAGUUCCCCUUCUCAAGCUCCACUUGAGAUGAGUUUCAAGGUCUGAUUUCCUUCAAAAGUUUUUGAUGGAAUUAGCAUAUUUCUGAGGACUGGAACUUUGUAUUUUCAUUGUAUCAGCAUUUGCCAGAAGAAAACUUUACAACUGGAGAUGUGUAACUCAGCUUGGAAGCCUUCAUUUGUCCUUUGCCUGGAUGAGCUGUAAAUUCUUUUUUCCCAUACCUGUUCAUGACCUGACUUAUGUUGCAUAUUUUUGGCAAAUAAUACAGCAAAUCCAAGUCUAUGAGCUUGCUAUUAGAUAUUAAAAACCCGUUUAAAUCAGAUAUUUUGGAUAAACAAAAUAGCAUGAACACAUUAAUUUUUUGGUUCAUGUGAUCCACUUGAUGUUAACAUGUAAUGAGUUAUGUAAUGUAAUGAGUAAUGCUACUUGCACUGUGGAAAAAAAUGCUAACAUGUAAACUAAAUUGAGAAAAAAAUAGAGUGAAAAACAGCAUUUCUAUGUCAAGUAGUCUCUCAAUAAUUUGAUCUGUAAUUAAUAGACCUGUAAUGACUAGAUUAGGGGAAAAUAGUUCUGGUAGUGGGAUAUCUAUUGCUAUUUUUUUUCCUGUUGCUUUCAGUGUGUACUCCUUCCUCUCUGUGCAGUUUUGUGGAUUGUGGGAUUUUUUUCUUUCCUUUUUCCGUCACAGAAAAAGCAGGAGAUAAAACAUUUCAACGACUCAGAAAAAUGGGGUUGUAAAACCAAAACAUUUGAGAAAGAAACUCAAGAACAGGCAUAAUAUCUAAACUUACUAUCACAUCAUAUACAUAAGUGCAGUAUUAGAAGCUGGGGCUGAACAGAGAAAACUUAGGUGGACCAUUUAUUGCUCCUAGUGACUCUGUUAUCGUACUGGCUCACAGGCUUACAGGUUGUCCUGCCAGUAAAGAUAUUGGGCUGGGCAUGACACAGAACAUAUUUUAUGUUUACAGUAACUUGAAGUUAAAAAGCCUUUUAGUGGUCAGUAUAUUGAAAUUAAUUCAUAAUUUUUAUGAUCCUCAGCAAAUGGGAAAUAAUGAUAAGUCAUUUUAUUUUCAUUUUAAUAUACUGUUUUGUUUUAAAAAUGGCUCUUACGUAGCAAAAUUAAGAGGGUUUCUUCAUGGGCUGGUUCCUUCUGUGAGUGUAAAGAAUAUGCAAAUGUUUUGAAGAUGAACAGGAAUAGUGUUUGGUAUCUGGGCUAUUUAUCUAUCAAUGAUCUAGGCAAAGAACAAUAUAAUUUUAGAAAAAGUACAAGAGGGAUUCUGAAUAGCAUUUGGAUGCCACUCUGCCAGUUGCAUUAUGUGUACAUAGGUAGUCCUUAUUCACCAGUAACCACAUCACAGGCUCCAUGGCUCCUCUAAAGCUUAUGGUCAUUGUGAGAACUCCUUCAUGAGGGGACUCUGGAAUGUCUCUGGAAAAUUCUACAUACCAGAUAAGUAAUUUACAUUACAAAGUACAUGUUUAAAUGCUGUUAUAUAAUUAACAAGCCUAUGCUGUUUGGCCCUUUCAUCACUGGCAAGCCUUUCUGCUUUGUUCUUUUUAGGUUCAGAAAUUAUCAGGUUAAAGUAGGUAAGCAUAUUUUUUUAAUGUUGGUGAAGACUUGCUUUCAAAGCUAACAUCCUCUACAGCUUGGGAGAGAUGGAAUUAGUUCCAAGCACAAGAGUUUUAAGUUAGAGGGGUACCAAAAGCAUUGCAUUAAUUAAUUUAACUACCAUCCUCAUUAUAAAUAAAAAAGUAGAUUUAAUAUAAAUUGUAUCACAUUGUGGGCUCUUACUCUGGAUCCAGAGUGAACCUUACUCUUACAAUAAUGUCACAGUUAUAAAAAGAAAUUAAGUAGUGCUCAUUUUCUAACCUGAAACUAACUUAAUCUAUCUUGAUAAACCAACUCAUCACUCAAGGUUUUGCAUUUCGGGAUUCUUUUGAAGAGUAUGAUGUUGCUAACACGGCUUCAAAUAUAUUAUUAAUUUCAUUUUGCUGUCUUAGUUUUCCAUAAAUCACCAUUUUAUUUCUUUCCCAGCAAUUUUUCAUACUUUUUCACCCUGCCAGUUCAGCUGUUAUACUUGGCAGAUGAAGCUUUUUCAGCAGGCGUAAUAUGUGUAAGACAAGUAAGAUGUAGUGUGUUCUUUUUGGAUAUUUUCUUGUCAGCCUCUUGAAUUGCCCGAGUUAAUUCAUAACUUCUUGCUUUCAGCAACUCAUCUGCUUCCCACUUUUGUGACAACAGGCUGUCUUCAGCUCUGUUGUAACCCAAAUUGUUCCCUAAAAUUUUUACUUGGUUUUCCCUCUGAACCUCUUCUACCUGGCUUUGUAACUUCAAGAAGGCCAUCUGACUACCCUCACAUUUCCUUUUAAUGCAUUCAGAUCUCAGCUAUCUCAAUUCUGCUACCUCUUGAAGGAGAAGGGUGCUCCUUUGGGUUCUCAUAACUGAUGAUGUAAUGGCUCCCAUUCAGUUUCUUACAUCCUGUGCAGCAAUUGUGUCAGUUCUGUUUUUGUGUGAGAGUCACUCCAGGGUGAUAGAUGAUGAAGUUUCUCCAGGUUUGGGAAUUCUGGUACGGAUUUGCUUCUUGAACUUGUUCCAGUGCCCAGAUACUUCGGAUACCUCAGGUUCAUCUUCCAGUGUUUCAGUUCUCAUACUCUCACUUGCAGCGACACUGAAGAAAAAAACUAUCAGCCUACUCCUUGGAAUGAACCACCCCCUAUCCCUUCUUUGUGCAUGACCCCUAUGGACAGAGGACUUUGUAGAGCCAAAGAGUUAAGAUUUUUCUACAACUACUCAACUGGAAGAUGUCACCCAUUUAGCUACAGUGGUUGUGGUGGGAAUGAAAAUAAUUUCACCUCCAGAAAGUCAUGUUUGAGGAACUGCAAGAAAGG